rnacentral:lncRNA from 1 species
GGCUUAUUUUCACGCUACAGGUUGUGCAAAAUUGACAGGAUUUAGCUUUAAUAUUAUGCUUUUCAGAUAAGAAUAAGUAAAAAAAUGGGGUCACCGUCUCGUUUUCUUGCUACAUAAUAAAAUAGGUAAAUUCCUAAAACACGCUAUUGUAAAAGUAAAUUUAUCUGAAUAAUCUGCCCUUACAUUUGAGUUGCAUCCCCUUAUCUGGC